rnacentral:rRNA from 1 species
AUUGAACGCUGGCGGCAUGCCUCACACAUGCAAGUCGAGCGAGCGGCGGACGGGUGAGUAAUGUCUGGGAAACUGCCUGAUGGAGGGGGAUAACUACUGGAAACGGUAGCUAAUACCGCAUACCAUCAGAUGUGCCCAGAUGGGAUUAGAUAGUAGGUGAGGUAACGGCUCACCUAGGCGACGAUCCCUAGCUGGUCUGAGAGGAUGACGAGCACCGCUGGAACUGAGACACGGUCCUGACUCCUACGGAAGGAACCAGUGGGAAAUAUUGCGCAAAUGGGGGAAGCCUGAUGCAGCCAUUCCGCGUGUGUGAAGAAGGCCUGCGGGUUGUAAAGCACUUUCAGCGGGGAGGCGUUACCCGCAGAAGAAGCACCGGCUAACUCCGUGCCAGCAGCCGCGGUAAUAC